rnacentral:rRNA from 1 species
UGGGGAAUAUUGCACAAUGGCCGGAAGUUUGAUGCAGCGACGCCGCGUGGAGGGUGUAGGUCUUCGGGUUGUGAACUCCUUUUUUUCGCGAAAAAGGCACAGUUUUGGCUGUGUUGAUGGUAGUGGGGGAAGAAGCGCCGGCUAACUACGUGCCAGCAGCCGCGGUAAUACGUAGGGCGCGAGCGUUGUCCGGAUUUAUUGGGCGUAAAGAGCUCGUAGGUGGUUCGUCGCGUCUGUCGUGAAAGCCAGCAGCUUAACUGUUGGUCUGCGGUGGGUACGGGCGGGCUUGAGUGCGGUAGGGAUGACUGGAAUUCCUGGUGUAGCGGUGGAAUGCGCAGAUAUCGGGAGGAACGCCGAUGGCGAAGGCAGGUCACUGGGCCGUUACUGAAACUGAGGAGCGAAAGCGUGGGGAGCGAACAGG